CACGGGGGGAGCAAGCGUUGUUCGGAAUCACUGGGCGUAAAGGGCGUGUAGGCGGUCAGGUAAGUGGGAUGUGAAAUGCCUCGGCUCACCCGAGGCACUGCAUUCCAAACUGCUUGGCUUGAGUAUGGGAGAGGAUGAGGGAAUUCCUGGUGUAGCGGUGAAAUGCGUAGAUAUCAGGAGGAACACCGGUGGCGAAGGCGGGUCUCUGGGCAGUAACUGACGCUGAGGAGCGAAAGCGUGGGGAGCGAACAGG
rnacentral:rRNA from 1 species